rnacentral:antisense_RNA from 1 species
UUUGACCGAGCCCAGCCACAGCGGACGGCCCCCAGGACGGUCCUGGCCGUACGUGGCCAACAGCGCCUGCGCCUC